ACACACACCCUAGCAGCCCCAUGUGUCCCACUCUGUCCAUUCCCCUCCACACACACACAUAUAUCCUCACCUGGUCCUGCAAACAAGGUGCUGUGAGGAAAGCAGCAUCUGCUCCCUCCCUUUUCAUAGCUGCCUGCUCCAACCCUUAGGCUGCUACCCCCUUUCUUCUGGUGCCACAGAAACCCCUGGUGGGUGAAAGGUGUAAAUUGCAGCACCUCCAGAGCAGAAUCUAUUUUCUGCAGGGGUAAAAAAAAAAUCUGCAGGGAAGAUUAAUUCUGUACUUGUGCAGAAUGAACAAUGCACUGUUCUAAUUCCUUUGUAAUUUUAUUUCUCAAGCAAAUUUUUUCUAACCCGGCACGGCAUGGAGGGAGGCAAGGACGCAGAAACUGACAAUCAUGAACACAGUCAUUCACUUAGAAAAGUUGGGGAAGAGACCGACGGAUUCUUUCACCAAAUACCCCUGAACUCUAGAGAGCGGCCCGGGCCUCCCGCCUCCCUGGCAGCAGCAGCAGCAGCGGCGGUUCCGCCCCGCCCGCAGGCCGGGUCCCGGCUCCCGGCUCCUCCGCGCCCCUCG